ACAAGUUCUACUUUUUUUCCCUGAUUCUCUCCCCCAUUCUGCUGGGAGGAGAGGGAGUGAUCAAUAGGCUGUGCAGUGUUUAGUUGCCUGCUGGGUUAAACCACACCAAUAAGUCAAUCCAGGCAUAACCAGUCAGUAACACUAGGUAGAAAAGUAGAAAUUAGAAGAAAGAGUCCUAGGUGGAUUAGUUGUAAAAAAUGUCAGUGAAACUUGAACUCAUUACAUCAGGGAGGACAGUAAAGAACUGAGGUGACUCUGUCUUGGUUAACAGGGUUAGAAAAAAAAGAAGAAAAGCAAAUUAUAUUAAUGGUGGAGAAUUAUACAAGAUUUAUGUUGGAAAGAGAAAGAAUUGGAGAUCUCUUAAGUAAUCUAGGAUCUUCACUUGUUUCCUGUCCAGUUUUAAGACUCAAAAGGGGUCAGAAACAUGAUUUAUUCAAGGCUUUUGAGACAUGUUGUUACCACAGUUUCAGCGGUUCUUACUUAACAUUCAACAUAGCUGCAAACCAAUGACUAAAUCAGAAAUGCCUGGAAAAUAAAGGUUUAUGGUGCCUGAUAGCUUGUAUCUAUGCAGUCAGUUGUGCCUGGAACAGAAAUACUGUGCAAACAAAAUAAAAUAAUAAAACACAUCUUUCAUUCCUUGUGGUCAUCAAAAACGUGCUGCUCUCACGCAGAGGUGAAGUUUGGGCUUCUUGGCCAAUCAGGAAGUGUCUGUGGCGUGACACUGUCAUACAACUGCCUAGUUAUUAGAACAUGAGAAGUUGGUUUCUCACCAUCAACAGACAUUUUGGGGGACAGCAGGCAAUAGCUAAAGCUUUUGCAGGUGGUUUUGAUAGGCAAACACCUGGAGGAACCAACAGGUGAAACUCAUGCCCUGCUAUCAGCUGUGAUAGCAGGAUGGCUUUAGCUAGUUUUAAUAAAGCCAUCCAGACAUAAUUUAAAAGGUAGGGAAAUGCAUCAUAGGUCUUAUGGUAGUAGCUGCUGAUAUAUGCUUCUAAACCACUUCCUUGACCUCAAAUUGGAGUAUGCAAGCUUUUAUCUUGCUAGGUACGUGGGCGUAUAUAGGAUUUAAUUUGCACUCUUUUUACAAAACAAGGCCAUUAAGUCUUAUUAGAAGUUGUUACUGUGACCUUCAGUACCCAUUUCAUUAAUACAUUUUUGUUUGCUUUCCAGCCUACCCUGCAAUUUUGACUGGCCUAUGGGAGGGCUCUGCUGUACCUUGCAGACGAAAUGUCUGUUGAACAAAAAGACUCACAAGACAGUGAAGGUUUCUAUCAUCAGAUCUGUGCUUGAUGUUACAAGGGACCCACCAGAUUUGAAUGACUCUACCAUUGAAUUCCUGCAGAACCUCAACGACACAACACGCACCUCUGAGGGUACAACCCCUGAGCACUGUAAGUGCUGUGGCAGUUGUGCAAAUACCAUGUAGUCACGUAGCCACGUAUCGAAGCUAUUGUUUUGGAGGACACGAACACAGCAGUAGCUUGAGAAAGCAGGAAUAUGUCCUUUGGCAGCAUUGAUCUUAAAUGCAGGCAGCUUAGCUGUAUUAGGAAAGGGAAAAAUACCUGCCUAUAAAUAAAGAUGAUUUUUGUGAUACAGAGAUAGUUCUUGAUGCAGAAGACUGAGGCCUCACUCAGUCAUGGCAGAAGCAGACUGGGCUGCUGCUAAGCCACUUGGUAUCAUCAGCUUUUUCAUUAGCAUUAAAAAGGGAAAAGGCUUAUCACUAUCCCAGACUGCUGCGCAGACUGGUUUGCUGGAACAUCUUAAUAGAUAUUUCCUAAUAUCCUCUUUCUUCUAAUGUUCUUUAAUUUGAUAAAAGCAUAUUUCUUUUCCUACUGGUCAGUUGUAGGCCAAAAAUGUGUUUCACCAAAUGCACUUUGCACUUUCUCUGGAAUAUGAUUUCCAGUCCUCAGCAAAGUGAAUGAUGGUGGCUUCUAAACAUAAAAUCGUAGAAUGGCUUGGAAAUAUUGUUUACAAAAGUGAGAUAAAAUAAAAAGAAGAAAAAUUUCUUUUAAAGUAAGCUACUAAAAAUUUUCUGUGCCAAUAUCUUUGCAUGUAAUGUGUCCUUCAACAUCACAGACCAGUCUGUUUCAGCUACCAUAUGGAUAUAUUUCUUUACCACCAGCCCAUUGGUCAAUAGUGCUGCUGAGACAAGAUCCUACAAAUCGUAAGUGGUGGGAAUGAGGGCUGGGACUGUGCUGAGAUACUGUCAAACUGUGGAGAGAGAGAGAACAUGGCUGACUUUCUGACAAGUCAUUGGUUAGGCUGUGACUAAAUCACUUUCUGCUACUGUUGGGUGGCUGAAUUCAGCCCACAAACCCAAUCAGAACACAAGCCCAUGAAUUGGGGCAGUGAUGUUCAGCAUUUAUUGUGAUGAGCCAGAGAACCUGGCCUUUUUGUAUGGGGUUGGGGUUGCUUUGUCCAUGGGACUGGAGAGGAUCAGCAAGCCAAAAGAAGGACACCCAAACAACCUCUGACCAGGUUUGGCUUAUCACUGUUUCCUGUGUUCUUUGCAAGCAAUGUGAGGAAUACAAAAGGCAGCCACCUCCUCUGACCAGUGGUCCUCCUCCUCUUCUGUACGUUUCUAAUAUUCACAGAGAAUCACAGACUUACAGACAUAUAGAAAUAGUGUCAGUACCAAAAAGAGAUGUAAGUAUCAACCUGGGGAACAAAAAGAGUAGAAAAUGUAGUACAGCACAAACUCCAGUCCAGGUGUUUGUACUUAAGUAUUUUCAUACAUAUUGGAAGGCUGUGCUGUCGUUCAUCAAGACCUAACAGAUUGGAGAGUUGGGCAGGGAGGAACCUGACGAGGUUUAACAAGAGGUAGUGUAGAGUCUUGCACAUGGAGAGGAAUAACUGCAUGCAUCAGUACAGGUUAAGGGAUGACCUGCUGGAGAGGAGCUCUGCAGAGAAGGAUUUGAGUGUUCUGGUGAACAACAGAUUGGCCAUGAGCAGCAUGCCUUCUUUCCAAGAAUGUCAAUGGUAACCUGUAUUGCCUUAAAAAGAACGUGGCCAGUAGGCCAAGGAAGGCGAUCUUCCCCCUCUACUCUGCUCUUGUGAGGCCACAUUUAGAAUGUGUCCGGUUCUGGGCUCCCUAGUUCAAAAAAGACGGAGAUCUCCUGGCAGGAGUUCAGGGGAGGGCAACGAAGAUGAUAAAGUGCCUGGAGGAUCUCCUGUAUGAGGUAAGGCUGACUAACAUGAGUCUGUUCAGCCUGAGGAAAAGAAGACUGAGAGCAAAUCUGAUAAAUGUUUCUAAGUAUAUAAAGGGAGGUGAGAGGCAAAGGGAUGAGGCCAGCCUCUUCGCAGUUGCUCGUAGCCAUAGGACAAGGAGUAAUGGCCUAAAAUUUAAGCAUAGUUAGUUAUGUACUAACAUGAAGAAGAAGUUUAUAGUAAGGGUGACAGAUCACUGGAACAGGCUGUCCAGAGAGGCUGUGGAGUCUCCUCCUCUGGAGAUAUUCAAGACCCAUGUGUGGACAACUACCUGUGUGACCUACUGUACUGAAUUGCUUUAGCAGGGGUGUUGAUCUUCAGAGGUCCCUUCCAACCCCUGCAAUUCUGUGAUUCUGUGACUGUGAUCUGAGACUAUCCGUAACACUCAAUGCCUUUAAGUGCGUUGAUCACUACUGCCAUUUUUUUCAUGCAGAGGCAUGAAGUGUAGAGUGAUCUCAGACAUUUCAUCCAUUCUGUGGAUUGUCUCUAAAAUAAACCUCAGAAAAAGAGCUGUGGUGCAGCUUCAGUGCAUGCUGUAGGGUAUGAGGGAAGAAUGCAAGUAAUUUUUUCCCCAGAGCCUCCCACUUCUCUCUAAUUUUGUGUGGUUAUUAGAGAACAUGAUUUAACGAAACUGUACUUCUACGGUAACAGACUAUUUGAGUUGUGGAUAAUAUAUGUGAAAGUAGUCUACCUGAUUCUUAAUCCUAGUCAGAGAAGCACUAAGUUUGUAAUUACUACCAAAGUUUAAUUCCCUGGUAAGGCAUUCAAAGAUCUACUGAUAAAAGCAGUAUCUAAGAGCCAAUUAUUUUUAAUCUUAAUAUCUUUACUGAAGAGCUUGAAAAGUCAUGCAGAUCACAAAUAAUUUUCUGUCCCAGAAAAUCCUUUAUAAACAGAACAUCAAACCCUAAGUAUCAAA